AUCUCCUGUUGCAUAUUUAAACAGCAGGCAUGAGUCAGUUUAUACAUUCAUCUGAUCACUAGAGGAGUGAAGAAUCACUUCAGUUCAUUCAAACUGUGCUGUGAAACAAACCAUGAUCUCUUCAUCUUUAGUGUUGCUUCUGGCAGUGAUAUCCUGUAUUGAUUCAAAUGAACUCACUCAGCCUGAGUCUCUGACUGUCCGUCCUGAUGCCACUCUCACUAUCAACUGUAAAGUCUCCUAUUCAGUUACAAGCUAUAGCAGCAGCUGGAUUCGUCAGCCUGCAGGAAAAGCUCUGGAGUGGAUUGGAGUCAUCUGGAGUAGUGGAGGCUUAGCCUACAAGGAUUCCCUGAAAAGCAAGUUCAGUAUCACCAGAGACACUUCCAGUAACACAAUAACACUGCAAGGAAAGAAUAUGCAAGCUGAAGACACAGCUGUGUAUUAUUGUGCCAGAGAAACACAGUGACAGACGCCAACAGCCUCUCUG